GCUGAGUCCGGUUGCGUGGGCUUGUAACUCAAACGAGAGCUUAGAGGUGGUGGGACACGGCUUCAUUCUAUGGAAUCGGGCCUAACAUGGCGUGGUCCUUGCUUGCCCAUACCAAGCCUAGAGCUGAAUGCUGUAACCCUAGCGAAGGUUUGGGUCACUGUAUUCCUGGAGAAGCGGGUACCGCGUGAGGCUGGCUUAACAGAGCAGCGAGUACCUCUCGCUCUUGGCAGUGGAUGGAUUACAGGUUGGUGCUAUUUGGGCCCAAAAUGGCUCCGUAGGGGAAGCCCAGUUGAACCAUCACCUUU
rnacentral:SRP_RNA from 1 species